AUUGAACGCUGGCGGCAGGCCUAACACAUGCAAGUCGAACGGUAGCACAGAGAGCUUGCUCUCGGGUGACGAGUGGCGGACGGGUGAGUAAUGUCUGGGAAACUGCCCGAUGGAGGGGGAUAACUACUGGAAACGGUAGCUAAUACCGCAUAACGUCGCAAGACCAAAGUGGGGGACCUUCGGGCCUCACACCAUCGGAUGUGCCCAGAUGGGAUUAGCUAGUAGGUGGGAUAAUGGCUCACCUAGGCGACGAGCCCUAGCUGGUCUGAGAGGAGGCCCAGCCACACUGGAACUGAGACACGGUCCAGACUCCUACGGGAGGCAGCAGUGGGGAAUAUUGCACAAUGGGCGCAAGCCUGACGCAGCCAUGCCGCGUGUAUGAAGAAGGCCUUCGGGUUGUAAAGUACUUUCAGCGGGGAGGAAGGCGGUGAAGUUAAUAGCUUCACCGAUUGACGUUACCCGCAGAAGAAGCACCGGCUAACUCCGUGCCAGCAGCCGCCGCGG
rnacentral:rRNA from 1 species